CGCUCUCUCUCUCUCUCUCUCAUCAGAUAUACUCUCACACACACUAGCUCUGUAAAACGCAGCAGCAGAAGGCUCGAAAAUAUCUUGGAGGCGGUUUUGAAAUUUCUUCUGGAAACCCAAGACUUUGGGGGCAAUGGGGGUCUAAACCCGUUCAGCAUUUGGUCUAGUUGAUUGGAAAGUCAGGAGGAUAUUUUGCUGGGAAGAGCGUGUGUUUUGACUAAACCCUUGAAGAAAGGAUUGGACAACAAUGGAGGGUGAGAAGAAGUACAUUACUGUCGAGCAGCUGAAGCUGCACAACAAGCCUUCGGAUUUGUGGAUCUCUAUCCAGGGCAAGGUUUACAAUAUCACUGAUUGGGCCAAAGAUCAUCCGGGUGGGGAUGCCAUUCUCUUCAAUAUGUCCGGCCAGGACGUCACUGAUGGAUUCAUUGCCUACCAUCCUCCAUCCGCAUGGAAGUACCUGGGAAAGUUCUUCACUGGGUACUAUCUGAAAGAUUUCGAGAUCUCGGAGGUCUCCAAGGAUUACAGGAAGCUUGCUUCCGAGUUUAACCAGCUCGGCUUGUUUGAAAACAAAGGGCAUGGGGCUCUUUACUCGGUGAUUAGUAUUCUGGUUAUGCUUUACCUUGUUGUGUAUGGUGUGUUGAAGUCUGAGAGUGUGUUGGUUCAUUUCGGUUGCGGUUGUUUGUUGGGGAUCCUCUGGGUUCAGGGUGCCUAUAUGGGUCAUGACUCCGGGCAUUACCAGGUCAUGUCUAGCCGCAGGUACAACAAAAUCGCUCAAUUUCUGGCCGGGAAUUGCCUUACUGGAAUCAGCAUUGCUUGGUGGAAAUGGACUCACAAUGCCCAUCACAUUGCCUGCAACAGCCUUGAUUAUGAUCCUGAUCUUCAACACAUGCCAGUUUUUGCCGUGUCCUCGAAAUUCUUUCAGUCAAUAACAUCAACCUUUUACGGAAGAGAGCUGACGUUUGAUGCCGUGGCUAGAUUUUUAGUCAGCCACCAGCAUUUUACGUAUUAUCCAAUCAUGAUUGUUGGAAGGGUAAACUUGUUUAUACAGACGUUCUUGUUAUUGUUCUCGAAGAGGAGCAUCCCAGAUAGAGCUUUGAACAUAAUGGGGAUCCUUGUUUUCUGGACUUGGUUUCCUCUCCUUGUUUCGUGUCUGCCUAAUUGGAGCGAGAGGUUUAUGUUCGUGUUGGCGAGCUUUACAGUGACAGCACUUCAGCACAUUCAGUUCACUUUGAACCAUUUUACAGGAGAUACUUAUCUUGGACCACCAACUGGCAACGAUUGGUUCGAGAAGCAGACAGCUGGUACCGUGGAUAUUUUGUGCUCGAGUUGGAUGGACUGGUUCUAUGGUGGCCUGCAGUUUCAGCUUGAGCAUCAUUUGUUCCCACGAUUGCCCCGUUCCCAGCUGAGGAAGAUUUCUCCCACUGUGAAGGAACUAUGCAAGAAGCACAAUUUACCUUACAAGAGUUUGUCCUUCUUGGAUGCCAAUGUGACUACCAUUAGGAUGCUAAGGAAUGCUGCCCAGCAGGCUUGGGACAUGGCCCUUCCCGUCCCGAAGAACUUGGCCUGGGAAGCUGUCAAUACCCAUGGUUGAUGAUUGUUGACGCUCAUCUAAAUACCGCCCCUGCAUUAGGCUUCUCUGUUUAUAAGUUGGGGCAUCCUUUUUAGCAGAUAUCAUGAGAUUUAAACCAGUUCAGUAAGCUUUUAUUUCGGAUUUUCUUGAGUAUUCCCUUUCUUCCACCGGUGCAUAUGCUGAAUCCAGUAAGUUAUCUGUGUUCUACAGGCCUACUCUAAUCGAUAAUCAUCCGCUUUCUUCCUUCUGAUGAAGGACAAACAAUUUGGAGUCUAAGUUGAAUUUCUGAGUUUAUUUCAGGCUUCUUGAUAUGGAUUAUUGGAAACCAUAUCCAUUUGUGGUAUAGUGGCCAAAGAAUUUAGGGUUCCCUUGGAUUGGAUACUUCAUAAGUUCAAAGUAUGUUGAAGGCAGAGGUGAAUGAUUUUUCAUUUAGUAGCGAUUAGAAGGGAUUGGACACGAAGGAAAUGUACCUCCACUAAUCGUAUCAUUUUGUGGGGACCGUAGCAUGUAAUCCAUCUUGUACCUUUCAGUUUGACACAAUUUAUUCAUCAUACUUACUUUGAAUGUA